GGGGCAUACGGGGAGGCUACACAUGCAGCCGAGCGGUAUAGAGUAGCUUGCUACUCUAGAGAGCGGCGUACGGGUGCGGAACACGUGUGCAACCUGCCUUUAUCUGGGGGAUAGCCUUUCGAAAGGAAGAUUAAUACCCCAUAAUAUUCUGAGUGGCAUCACUUGGAAUUGAAAACUCCGGUGGAUAGAGAUGGGCACGCGCAAGAUUAGAUAGUUGGUGGGGUAACGGCCUACCAAGUCGAUGAUCUUUAGGGGGCCUGAGAGGGUGAUCCCCCACACUGGUACUGAGACACGGACCAGACUCCUACGGGAGGCAGCAGUGAGGAAUAUUGGACAAUGGGUGAGAGCCUGAUCCAGCCAUCCCGCGUGAAGGACGACGGCCCUAUGGGUUGUAAACUUC
rnacentral:rRNA from 1 species